CACCUCAGGUAGAGUUAGCGAGCCGUGUAAUAGCCGACCAUUUCGCGCGGUUCAUGGGGCACUUGAGUUAGUCGCUGGCGCCCGACUACGUGUUGACCCCUAUCCAAUUUUUAGGCCAAUUCGCCCUUCGUACUACCAAAAAAUGAGAUUCUUGCCGAAUCCGAGUGCAUGGUUCAAACCUUCUUUAUAAAGUUGGUGAUGAUCUUGAUGAAGAUAUGGUAGCAAAUUAUGCUGCCAACCUUCAGAAGGUGCUACCUGAGCUUCCUUCUCCAGUUAAUAGUGGGACGAUGCUCACUGUAGAGGAUCUUCAACAAGAGUUGGUUUGCUGUAUCAAUAUCAAACAUAGGAGCUGGAUGAAAUGGUUCUAUCUGGAUAGACACAAGCUCUUGCAGUGGUUGGAAACGGUGGGAGCAGAUCAAAUGCAUUGCGAGCAGAAUCCAUGGAGGCUGAAAAGGAGACUGAGGUGGAUGAAAUUUCAGAACCUUCUGGGAGAAACGUAAUUAACAAGACAGGUUGAAGAAGGUUAGGAGCCGUUUGGCAUCUCAGGAGCAGACUUUUGUUAAUGAGAACCUAACAAGACAGGGUGAAGUAGAGGUAAUGAUGCUGCAUAUUGUUGAUGCAAUGAUACCUUGCUGGAAAUGUAUCAACAUUACAGGUUUCAGUUUGAACUUUUUGGAGCCAGCUGAAGUUAGUUUCCUGCAGUUGGUUUGACGUGCAUGGUUGCAACUUUUUGGGUGUAUUUUAGUUGAAUGGCUUAGGUGUAGUUAAGUAAUGUAAAUGAUAUAUUUUAAGUAUGAUUUGUUAGUGGUUAGAGUUUAAAUUCAAAUUUGUAAAUCCCUGCUGUAGUUGUUGUAA